UUAGCACGACGAUUAAUAAUCGUCGUCGGACGCGCACGUGGUUCACGGUAAUUAAAAAUCCUGUUGCGCGUAAGAAGACACUUCCGGUUCUCGUUAUGAUCGAUCGAGGCUAACUAUAAAUGAAAUAAUUAUCGUCCGGAGCGCUGAUUACCGGCGCGGCUCGGCGUGGCGCAGACCGAGGUCAGAGGCCAUAAUAACAGAUCACUUGGUCCGACCCGUGCGGCAUACGUUGUAACAGUUAAUGCGCAAUUAUUCAAUUGGAUGAGUCGCUCGAUUCACAUAGGAAUCGGCCACGGCAGAAAGUUUCAGAAAACGCGCCGCAAUAAACCGCACGAAUUUUCGCUAAACGCGCACGAGCACGAGCGGCUUCGUGCGAGAAUUACGAUGUUACCAUUGAUGACUCGUACCAGUUGCCGUAUAGAUGUGACGUAUUACGCUGUUAAAGCGGUUUUGCAAGCUGUUUAACAUCACGCAUCAAAUGAAAAUUUAUCGAUAUAUAAAAUAAAUCCCCCGAAGAG